AAUCAACGCUGGCGGCGUGCCUCAGACAUGCAAGUCGAACGAUUAAAGCUCUCUUCGGAGAGUGCAUAGAGUGGCGCACAGGUGAGUAACACGUAAGUAAUCUACCCUCGAGUGGGGAAUAACGUCCGGAAACGGGCGCUAAUACCGCAUAAUGCAGCGGCAUCAUAAGAUGACAGUUGUUAAAGAUUUAUCGCUUGAGGAGGAGCUUGCGGCAGAUUAGCUAGUUGGUAAGGUAACGGCUUACCAAGGCUACGAUCUGUAACCGGUCUUAGAGGACGGUCGGGCACACUGACACUGAAUAACGGGUCAGACUCCUACGGGAGGCAGCAGUCGGGAAUUUUGGGCAAUGGGCGAAAGCCUGACCCAGCAACGCCGCGUGAAGGAUGAAGUAUUUCGGUAUGUAAACUUCGAAAGAAUAGGAAGAAUUAAUGACGGUACUAUUUAUAAGGUCCGGCUAACUACGUGCCAGCCGCCGCAGUAAGAC
rnacentral:rRNA from 1 species